rnacentral:lncRNA from 1 species
CCCCGCCCCGGGAGUUCUGGGACAAAGCGCUUCACAGCACCAUCGCCACCAUGACAGCAGAUGCAGAAUCAGCACAGGGCGGUCAGCAGAGGAGCCGGAGGAGAGCGAGGGAGACUUCCCCGGACAGCCGCAGAGGGCUCAGAGGAGGCUGGAGACUGCGGGAUUCAGGGGCAUCCACCUAGAUGCGGGCAAGGCCCAGUUCUCCCGCAGAAUCACCCAGGGAAGCACCUUUCUGGUGGUCAGAGCGUGGGCUGAGGCCAGAAUACUUGGGUUAAAUCCCGGCUGUACCCUUUACUAGCUGUGUGACCUGCACCGCGCAACUUAAUCUCUCCGUGCCCCCGUCUCCUCAUCUGUGACACCUACGCUUACAGGCUCCUGCGAAGAUGAAGAGAGCGAAUAGAUGCAAAGCUUUCAGGACUGUGCCGCUCACGGAUAAGCUCUUACUUCAUUCACUCGGAUGUUUACAGAGAGUUAAAUGAGAUCAUUAUGGCAGGGCAUGCUAAACAAUGACAGUGCAAAUUUUUAAAAAGU